rnacentral:lncRNA from 1 species
GUGUGUACGUGUCUGUGAGGAUUUGAAUAAAUGAGUUUAUUUUAUUUGAAAUUAUAUUAAUUCUAGAUGAAAUUUGUUGUUUUUACAGGUUAGGAAUGCCAUAUCCAAACACUUGAAUGUUUAAAACAGAUGACAACUGUUUUUAACAUAGAUUUUUAAAAUUAUAAGCAUAAUACAUACAUACUUGUGCCCUGAGGGAAGGACAUCAGGAAGCAUGGAGCAUCUGACAUACUCACUAUUACAGACUGAGUCCUGCCUUGUCUGAAAUGGUGUGUUGGAGUCUAACCCUCAGUAUCCCAAAUGUGCCCUUAUUUGGAGACAGGGUGAACAGAGGUAUCAAGAUGGAAUUAGGUCAUUAGGGUUGGCCCUAAUCCAGCAUGACUGGUGGUCUAUGAAAGACAGAUUUGACACAGAGACAUCACAUACAGAGAGAAGAUGGUGUGAAGAGACACAGGGAGAACAGGGCCCUGAGGAGCCUUGAGGUACAGGGUCAUGGAAGUGUAGCUGCUCCCUCUGGUGCAGCCUUCCCUCAGACCCUCAGAAGGAACCGCCCCGGUGAAGGCUCGACUUUGAGCUUCCGGUCUCAGAGGUUGAGCCGUACCUACCCACUGCUUUAAGCCACACUGUGGGUGGUACUUUGUGACUGCAGCCUUAGCAACGUGAUACAUAUUUUGAUACAAGGAAAUGGGUGGGGUGGGGACUGCUCUAACAACCACCUAUAAACAUGGAAAUGGCUUUGGAAUUGGGUAAUGGAGAGAAGCUGGAAGAAUUGAGAACCAUGGCAGAUAAAGCCCAGGUUAUCAAAAGACACUGUUGGUAAAACAUUAAUGGAGGUCCCCGUGAGCCCUGACCCAGAAAGAUUAGGCCUGCAGGGGAGGACACCUCAGCUAAGAGAGUGCACAGCCUCAGGGACACAGUGGUGCUAGACCAGAGGGCAGAUGGCUCUUCCUGGAAGGUCUGAAGUGGGAGGAGAUGAGGAGGCCACCAGAACCCCAGGACCCACCCAGAAAAUGGGCUACAGAGUUACCAGCUUGAACAUGUCAUCCAUGAAGGAGCAAGAGGUGUGGCAGUGGGGUAGACCGCAGGGACCCGUGGUACAGUGUGAGGGAGCACGUGUCUCUGUGGCAGCACAGAGCCCACAGGGAGGCUGCAGGAGGGCCUUUUGUGGUAAAGUGUGAGUGAGUAGCCGUUCCUGUCAGCUUCCCUGCACUAGACACAUCUCAUGGUGGAGGCGUGUCUCCAUCUACCCUGAUGUGUAGAGACCCCUUGCGUCUUGGGCUGUGGACUGACUCCAGUAAGCUCUAACUCACCCGUGUGUAGACGUAGAGGUGCUCGUGCCGCUCUCCUUUUCCUGUGAGGGUACAUGAACAUUCAUCGGUGAGUUUUCGGCCCUGAGACUCUGUCCCCACAGCCAGCUCCUCUCUUACUCGUUUGGGGAGGGCAGCAGAGCUGCCUUGGGAGGACUGCUCUUGGGGAGAGCAUCCUCCCUCAACCACGUUACGAGAGCAUGUGUUUUCCUUCCCCUGGGUGGAAGCAGGCACUGGCGCUGGUUGAGUGAUGGGUGUUUAUGAAACCUUUCUUUAUUCCAUAUCUUGCUCUGUUGCCCAGGGUGUCCUUGAACUUCGUGCCCCAUCCUGACUGUGUGCCACCGUGUACCACCAUCUUGAUGUAUCUCGUGAAGAGAGCCGGCUGAUUUUUGGGGGUGUGCGCACUCCCCGGCCUCCCACUGGCCACGCUGACCUCAGGCUUCCCUCUGGUGCGGCCUUCCGUGGCGUGGGGCUCUGUGUUUCCAGCCUGCCGAGGCCAUCAUGCAGCUUUCUGUGCUCAUGUGCCAUCCGUAUCCCCCUGGGUGAAGAACUUGUGAUCAUUAGCCAACUGUCACCUGCAUCUUUUUUCUUAGACUCCAGCUCUGUAGCUCUUAGUGAGUCCUGGGUACGACAUGUGAUGUGGAAAUACUUUGUGCAUGUCUCCUGGGAAUCAAAUAUUUUAAUAAAGCCCGUUUGUCAGUUUUUCUCAGUAGA